ACGAACGCUGGCGGCGUGCUUAACACAUGCAAGUCGAACGGAAAGGCCCUGCUUUUGUGGGGUGCUCGAGCGGCGAACGGGUGAGUAACACGUGAGUAACCUGCCCUUGACUUUGGGAUAACUUCAGGAAACUGGGGCUAAUACCGGAUAGGAGCUCCUGCUGCAUGGUGGGGGUUGGAAAGUUUCGGCGGUUGGGGAUGGACUCGCGGCUUAUCAGCUUGUUGGUGGGGUAGUGGCUUACCAAGGCUUUGAUGGGUAGCCGGCCUGAGAGGGUGACCGGCCACAUUGGGACUGAGAUACGGCCCAGACUCCUACGGGAGGCAGCAGUGGGGAAUAUUGCACAAUGGGCGGAAGCCUGAUGCAGCAACGCCGCGUGCGGGAUGACGGCCUUCGGGUUGUAAACCGCUUUCGCCUGUGACGAAGCGUGAGUGACGGUAAUGGGUAAAGAAGCACCGGCUAACUACGUG
rnacentral:rRNA from 1 species